rnacentral:rRNA from 1 species
UACGGAGGGCGCUAGCGUUGUUCGGAAUUACUGGGCGUAAAGCGCGCGUAGGCGGCUUUGUAAGUUAGAGGUGAAAGCCCGGGGCUCAACUCCGGAACUGCCUUUAAGACUGCAUCGCUUGAAUCCGGGAGAGGUGAGUGGAAUUCCGAGUGUAGAGGUGAAAUUCGUAGAUAUUCGGAAGAACACCAGUGGCGAAGGCGACUUACUGGACACAUAUUGACGCUGAGGUGCGAAAGCGUGGGGAGCAAACAGG